rnacentral:rRNA from 1 species
AUCUCUUGGUUCCAGCAUCGAUGAANAACGCAGCGAAAUGCGAUAACUAAUGUGAAUUGCAGAAUUCAGUGAAUCAUCGAGUCUUUGAACGCACAUUGCGCCCCUCGGUAUUCCGGGGGGCAUGCCUGUUCGAG